UCUGGGUCGGGGUUUCGUACGUAGCA
rnacentral:piRNA from 7 species